AGGGUGUAUGGGGGAUGUCUAGGUGUCGAGAGGCGAAGAAGGACGUGGCAGGCUGCGAUAAGCCCGGGGCAGGUGUCAAGCAACCGUUAAUCCCGGGAUUUCCGAAUGGGGCAACCCGUCAGAAGCGGGCAACCGUCUUCUGUCAUCUGCGGCUGAAUGCAUAGGCCGUAUGAAGCUAACGCAGGGAACUGACACAUCUCAGUACCUGUAGGAAAAGAAAUCAACCGAGACUCCGUUAGUAGUGGCGAGCGAAAGCGGAUUAGCCCAAACCAGAGGGCUUGCUCUCUGGGGUUGCGGGCGCCGGUAAGCAGUUACAAAGGCAUCACAAGCAGAAUCUUCUGGAAAGUUGAACCAUAGAAGGUGAUAGUCCUGUAUGCGAAAGUGAGAGCCCUGCGUCACUGCCGGCGUACCAGAGUAGCACGGAGCUCGUGGAACUCCGUGUGAAGCUGGGGGGCCCACCCUCCAAGGCUAAGUACUACUCGACAACCGAUAGUGGAUAGUAAGGCGACUGAACGAUGAAAAGUACCCCUAUUAGGGGAGUUAAAAGUACCUGAAACCAUACACCUACAAGCUGUGGAAGCCCUAUGACCAGUCUUCGGACUGGUAAUGGGUGACCGCGUGCCUUUUGCAUAAUGAGCCGGCGAGUUACCGUUUGUGGCAAGGUUAAAUCUUUAAGGGAUGAAGCCAUAGCGAAAGCGAGUCUUAACAGGGCGUUUAAGUCGCAGGCGGUAGACGCGAAUCCAAGUGAUCUACCCAUGGCCAGGUUGAAUCCGCCGUAAAAGGCGGAGGAGGACCGAACUCAUUAACGUUGAAAAGUUAUGGGAUGAGCUGUGGGGAGGAGUAAAAGUCUAAUCAAACUUGGGGAUAUCUCGUUCUCUUCGAAAUAGCUUUUGGGCUAGCCUUGAGCUACUACUUUACGGGGGUAGAGCUACUGAAUGGGGAUAGGGAGCCACCAGCUUACCAACCCCAACCAAACUCCGAAUACCGUAAAGAUUAUCUCAGGAGUCAGACUGCGGGGGAUAACCUUCGUGGUCAAAAGGGAAACAACCCAGACCGCCAGCUAAGGUCCCAAAGUUUUGCUGAGUUCAUAAGGAAGUUGAAUUGCCGUGACAGCCAGGAUGUUGGCUUAGAAGCAGCCACCAUUUAAAAAGUGCGUAAUAGCUUACUGGUCGAGCAGUUUGGCGCCGAUAAUGAACGGGAAUAAGCAAAACACCGAAGCUGCGGAUUCGCACCUGCUUUGAGACUUUACCGUCGAACAACGUAAGGUGUCUGUUUGAUUGUAGAUUCUCAUAGCAGGUGCGAAUGGUAGGAGAGCGUUGCUGCCAGCAUCGAAGCCGUACGGUAACGAGCGGUGGAGCGGCAGCAAGUGAUUAUGCCGGUAUGAGUAACGAUAAAACAGGUGAGAAUCCUGUUCGCCGAAAGCCUAAGGUUUCCUGGGGAAGGUAAAUCCGCCCAGGGUUAGUCGGUCCCUUAGUCGAGGCUGAAAGGCGUAGACGAUGGACAGCAGGUAUCGAAGGUUAUAACUGUGGGGGCAACGCAGUAGCAAAGGCUGGAAGCUGACUAGUCGUGGCUAUCGUGCCUGAGGCGUUGUCGGCAGGCAAAUCCGCCGGCACAAAACGCCGAGGGGCCGCAAGGGCCAAUUUAUGAUGCCCGAGCAGCUAGAGCUGUUGCCAAGAAAAACCUCAAACAGGACAACGAUGCGUACCCGUACUAAAACUGACACAGGUAGGCGAGGAGAAUAUCCUAAGGCGCUCGAGAAAACCGUUCUCGUUUAAUUUAUGAGAUGUGUGCUGAGGGCGCAGCGAAGUGGCUCUGGCGACUGUUUAUCAAAAACACAGUUCUGUGCUAACUCUUAAAGAGGAUGUAUACAGAAUGACGCGUGCUCGGUGCCGGAAGGUCAAGGAAGUCGGUCAUUGGGAGUAAUCUCGAAAAGCUGACAACCGAAGCCCCGGUAAACGGCGGCCGUAACUAUGACGGUCCUAAGGUAGCGAAGUUCCUUGUCGGGUAAGUUCCGACGUGCAUGAACCGCGUAACGACUGGAGCACUGUCUCAAGGACGGACUCGGUGAAAUUGUACUUGUGGUGAAGAUACCACAUACCCGCGGCAAGACGGAAAGACCCCGUGAACCUUUACUGUAGCCUGGUAUUGAUGCCUGACAUAUCUUGCGUAGGAUAGGUGGGAGGCUUUGAGGCCCCGAUUUCGGUCGGGGCGGAGCCAACGUUGAAAUACCACCCUUGCUAUGUUAGUCACCUAACCACGACCCGUGAAUCCGGGCGUGGAACAGUGCUUGGUGGGCAGUUUGACUGGGGCGGUCUCCUCCUAAAGAGUAACGGAGGAGCUCAAAGGUACACUCAGCGUGGUUGGCAAUCACGCAUAGAGCAUAAGGGUAUAAGUGUGCUUAACUGCGAGACUCAUUAGUCGAGCAGAUGCGAAAGCAGGACCUAAUGAUCCGGUGAUUCUGUGUGGAAGGGUCAUCGCUCAACAGAUAAAAGGUACUCUGGGGAUAACAGGCUUAUCUCCCCCGAGCGUCCAUAGCGGCGGGGAGGUUUGGCACCUCGAUGUCGGCCCAUCGCAUCCUGGGGCUGAAGGCGGUCCCAAGGGUUGGGCUGUUCGCCCAUUAAAGCGGUACGCGAGCUGGGUUCAGACCGGCGUGAGCCAGGUCGGUCCCUAUCUGCUGUGGGCGUAGGAAUCUUGAGGAAAUGUUUCCCUAGUACGAGAGGAUUGGGAAGCACUGACCGAUGGUGUACCGGUUGUCCCGCUAGGGGCACCGCCGGGUAGCUAUGUCAGGAAAGGAUAACCGCUGAAAGCAUCUAAGCGGGAAGCCCAUUCCAAGAUAAGGAUUCCUUGUAGUCUUCGGACUGCAGAAGAGCCCUGAUAGACUAUCAGGUUGAUAGGCCGGGUGUGUAAGGCGAGAAAUCGCUUCAGCUAACCGGUACUAACGCUCGAUUACUUGACCA
rnacentral:rRNA from 1 species